rnacentral:rRNA from 1 species
AUGCAGUCGAACGAUGAUCUCCAGCUUGCUGGGGGGAUUAGUGGCGAACGGGUGAGUAACACGUGAGUAACCUGCCCUUGACUCUGGGAUAAGCCUGGGAAACUGGGUCUAAUACCGGAUAUGACCAUUCCACGCAUGUGGUGGUGGUGGAAAGCUUUUGCGGUUUUGGAUGGACUCGCGGCCUAUCAGCUUGUUGGUGGGGUAAUGGCCUACCAAGGCGACGACGGGUAGCCGGCCUGAGAGGGUGACCGGCCACACUGGGACUGAGACACGGCCCAGACUCCUACGGGAGGCAGCAGUGGGGAAUAUUGCACAAUGGGCGGAAGCCUGAUGCAGCGACGCCGCGUGAGGGAUGACGGCCUUCGGGUUGUAAACCUCUUUCAGUAGGGAAGAAGCGUAAGUGACGGUACCUGCAGAAGAAGCGCCGGCUAACUACGUGCCAGCAGCCGCGGUAAUACGUAGGGCGCAAGCGUUAUCCGGAAUUAUUGGGCGUAAAGAGCUCGUAGGCGGUUUGUCGCGUCUGCUGUGAAAGACCGGGGCUCAACUCCGGUUCUGCAGUGGGUACGGGCAGACUAGAGUGCAGUAGGGGAGACUGGAAUUCCUGGUGUAGCGGUGAAAUGCGCAGAUAUCAGGAGGAACACCGAUGGCGAAGGCAGGUCUCUGGGCUGUAACUGACGCUGAGGAGCGAAAGCAUGGGGAGCGAACAGGAUUAGAUACCCUGGUAGUCCAUGCCGUAAACGUUGGGCACUAGGUGUGGGGGACAUUCCACGUUUUCCGCGCCGUAGCUAACGCAUUAAGUGCCCCGCCUGGGGAGUACGGCCGCAAGGCUAAAACUCAAAGGAAUUGACGGGGGCCCGCACAAGCGGCGGAGCAUGCGGAUUAAUUCGAUGCAACGCGAAGAACCUUACCAAGGCUUGACAUGGACUGGAAAGAUCUGGAGACAGGUCCCCCGCUUGCGGUCGGUUCACAGGUGGUGCAUGGUUGUCGUCAGCUCGUGUCGUGAGAUGUUGGGUUAAGUCCCGCAA